GACAGAGGGUGCAAACGUUGCUCGGAAUCACUGGGCGUAAAGGGCGCGUAGGCGGGGAUGUAAGUCGGGCGUGAAAUCCCCAGGCUCAACCUGGGAACUGCACUCGAAACUGCGUUUCUUGAGUAUCGGAGAGGAAAGCGGAAUUCCUGGUGUAGAGGUGAAAUUCGUAGAUAUCAGGAGGAACACCGGUGGUGUAGACGGCUUUCUGGACCGUAACUGACGCUGAGACACGAAAGCGUGGGUAGCAAACAGG
rnacentral:rRNA from 1 species